CCUUCCCAUAACUCAGGGAUAGCCUUUCGAAAGAAAGAUUAAUACCUGAUAGUACUUUUUCAAGGCAUCUUGAGAAAGUUAAAGAUUUAUUGGUUAUGGAUGGGGAUGCGUUCCAUUAGAUAGUUGGUGAGGUAACGGCUCACCAAGUCUUCGAUGGAUAGGGGUUCUGAGAGGAAGGUCCCCCACAUUGGUACUGAGACACGGACCAAACUCCUACGGGAGGCAGCAGUGAGGAAUAUUGGUCAAUGGGCGAGAGCCUGAACCAGCCAAGUAGCGUGAAGGAAUGAAGGUCCUAUGGAUUGUAAACUUCUUUUAUAGUAGAAUAAAGUGAUCCACGUGUGGAUUUUUGUAUGUAUACUAUGAAUAAGGAUCGGCUAACUCCGUGCCAGCCGCGGC
rnacentral:rRNA from 1 species